rnacentral:snRNA from 1 species
GGGCUCACUUCGGCAGCACAUAUUCUAAAAAUUGGAAAGAUACAGAGAUUAACAUGGCCCCUGUGCAAGCAUGACACUCAAAUUCGUGAAGUGUUCCAAUUUUUU